rnacentral:rRNA from 1 species
CCUACGGGGUGCAGCAGUGAGGAAUAUUUGUCAAUGGGCGCGAGCCUGAUCCAGCCACGUAGCGUGAAGGAUGACUGCCCUCCGGGUUGUAAACUCCUUUUAUAAAGGAAUAAAGUGUGGUACGUGUGCAUUAUUGUAUGUCCUUCAUGAAUACGGAUCGGCUAACGCCGCGACAGCAGCCGCGGUAAUGCGGAGGAUCUGAGCGUUAUCCGGAUAUAUUGGGUAUAAAGGGGUCGAGGAUGGGUUAUGAAGUCAGAUGUGAACGUUUGCUGCUCAACCGUAAAACUACUAUUGAUACUGGCAGCCUUGAGUACGGUAGAGGUAGGCGGAAUUCUUAGUGUAGCGGUGAAAUGCUUAGAUAUCACGAAGAACUCCGAUAGCGAAGGCAGCUUACUAAACUGCCACUGACAUUGAUGCACGAAAGUGUGGGUAUCAAACGGGAUUAGAUACCCGAGUAGUC